CAGUCAGUGUUUGUUGAUUGAAUAAUGGAAUUUGUCUUGGGCCAAUCCUGGGCUUUGGAGUCCAGCCCACUCCAUCUCACUCUACGCACAGCCCUGUCAUCUUUCAAUCAGAGAGAAGACUGGUGACCUCUAUAAAUACAGUGUUCCCUCUGACCCGAGAUGGAAAAGUCAACCGAAGAUCUUACUGAAGUGUCUCAUGAAUCCACUCCGUCCUCCCAGAGACAUAGUGACUGUUUGAGCUGUGUGCAUUUGAGCUGACUAAUGAAGAAUGAAUAAGUACUCCAAGGAAAAAAACUUCUCCAGCUUAUUACUAAAUGUUCUACAAGAAGUGUCCC